GGGCCGGUAGCUCAGUUGGUUAGAGCGCACCCCUGAUAAGGGUGAGGUCGCAAGUUCAAAUCUUGCUCGGCCCACCA
rnacentral:tRNA from 2 species